GGGAGGGGAGGAGCCGAGCUCCCUGCUGCAGCCGCUUGCCAGGGGGAGGAAGAAGGGCGCCGCUGGCCUCUGCGAGAAAUUCUGGGCGCCAUGGAGGAACGCACGCAGGGUGUUGGGGCCUGGGCGUCCAUGGAUGCUGGCUUCCUGUGUGUCGGCCAUGGAGAGAAAGGAGUGGCGCUGGGCAGAGGUCCGGCUAGAGGUGGAAGAAGGGCUUGGGCGCCAUCCAUGGGAGCGGCUGCUCCCUGCUCUAGCGUGCGUGAAGGAGCGUGGGCUGCUACCGUGAGGGAGAAGGAGGCAGGGAAGAAAG
rnacentral:misc_RNA from 1 species